ACUCCUACGGGAGGCAGCAGUGGGGAAUAUUGCACAAUGGGGGAAACCCUGAUGCAGCCAUGCCGCGUGUGUGAAGAAGGCCUUCGGUUGUAAAGCACUUUCAGUAGGGAGGAAGGUAGUGUAGUUAACACCUGCAUUAUUUGACGUUACCUACAGAAGAAGCACCGGCUAACUCCGUGCCAGCAGCCGCGGUAAUACGGAGGGUGCGAGCGUUAAUCGGAAUUACUGGGCGUAAAGCGCAUGCAGGCGGCCUGUUAAGUCAGAUGUGAAAGCCCGGGGCUUAACCUCGGAAUUGCAUUUGAAACUGGCAGGCUAGAGUCUUGUAGAGGGGGGUAGAAUUUCAGGUGUAGCGGUGAAAUGCGUAGAGAUCUGAAGGAAUACCAGUGGCGAAGGCGGCCCCCUGGACAAAGACUGACGCUCAGAUGCGAAAGCGUGGGGAGCAAACAGGAUUAGAUA
rnacentral:rRNA from 1 species